ensembl:snRNA U6 U6 spliceosomal RNA
ACAUGUCAUGAAGCAUUCCAUGUUGGAGUGAUACAGAGAAGAUUAGCAUGGCCCCUGUGCUUGGAUGACAAGCAAAUUCAUGAAGCUAUUUUUU